CUGAACCAGCCAAGUAGCGUGAAGGAUGACUGCCCUAUGGGUUGUAAACUUCUUUUAUAUAAGAAUAAAGUGCGGUAUGGGUACCCGUUUGCAUGUACUUUAUGAAUAAGGAUCGGCUAACUCCGUGCCAGCAGCCGCGGUAAUACGGAGGAUCCGAGCGUUAUCCGGAUUUAUUGGGUUUAAAGGGAGCGUAGGUGGAUUUUUAAGUCAGUUGUGAAAGUUUGCGG
rnacentral:rRNA from 1 species